GUUCGUUGGGUAGGGGAGCGUUCUGUAAGCCUGUGAAGGUGUGUCGUGAGGCAUGCUGGAGGUAUCAGAAGUGCGAAUGCUGACAUAAGUAACGAUAAAGCGGGUGAAAAGCCCGCUCGCCGGAAGACCAAGGGUUCCUGUCCAACGUUAAUCGGGGCAGGGUGAGUCGACCCCUAAGGCGAGGCCGAAAGGCGUAGUCGAUGGGAAACGGGUUAAUAUUCCCGUACUUGGUGUUACUGCGAAGGGGGGACGGAGAAGGCUAUGUUGGCCGGGCGACGGUUGUCCCGGUUUAAGCGUGUAGGUGUGUGUUCCAGGUAAAUCCGGUUCACUUUAACACUGAGGCGUGACGACGAGGCACUACGGUGCUGAAGCAACAAAUGCCCUGCUUCCAGGAAAAGCCUCUAAGCAUCAGGUAACAUCAAAUCGUACCCCAAACCGACACAGGUGGUCAGGUAGAGAAUACCAAGGCGCUUGAGAGAACUCGGGUGAAGGAACUAGGCAAAAUGGUGCCGUAACUUCGGGAGAAGGCACGCUGACACGUAGGUGAAGUGAUUUACUCAUGGAGCUGAAGUCAGUCGAAGAUACCAGCUGGCUGCAACUGUUUAUUAAAAACACAGCACUGUGCAAACACGAAAGUGGACGUAUACGGUGUGACGCCUGCCCGGUGCCGGAAGGUUAAUUGAUGGGGUCAGCGCAAGCGAAGCUCCUGAUCGAAGCCCCGGUAAACGGCGGCCGUAACUAUAACGGUCCUAAGGUAGCGAAAUUCCUUGUCGGGUAAGUUCCGACCUGCACGAAUGGCGUAAUGAUGGCCAGGCUGUCUCCACCCGAGACUCAGUGAAAUUGAACUCGCUGUGAAGAUGCAGUGUACCCGCGGCAAGACGGAAAGACCCCGUGAACCUUUACUAUAGCUUGACACUGAACAUUGAGCCUUGAUGUGUAGGAUAGGUGGGAGGCUUUGAAGCGUGGACGCCAGUCUGCAGUGGAGCCGACCUUGAAAUACCACCCUUUAAUGUUUGAUGUUCUAACGUGGACCCGUGAUCCGGGUUGCGGACAGUGUCUGGUGGGUAGUUUGACUGGGGCGGUCUCCUCCUAAAGAGUAACGGAGGAGCACGAAGGUUGGCUAAUCCUGGUCGGACAUCAGGAGGUUAGUGCAAUGGCAUAAGCCAGCUUGACUGCGAGCGUGACGGCGCGAGCAGGUGCGAAAGCAGGUCAUAGUGAUCCGGUGGUUCUGAAUGGAAGGGCCAUCGCUCAACGGAUAAAAGGUACUCCGGGGAUAACAGGCUGAUACCGCCCAAGAGUUCAUAUCGACGGCGGUGUUUGGCACCUCGAUGUCGGCUCAUCACAUCCUGGGGCUGAAGUAGGUCCCAAGGGUAUGGCUGUUCGCCAUUUAAAGUGGUACGCGAGCUGGGUUUAGAACGUCGUGAGACAGUUCGGUCCCUAUCUGCCGUGGGCGCUGGAGAACUGAGGGGGGCUGCUCCUAGUACGAGAGGACCGGAGUGGACGCAUCACUGGUGUUCGGGUUGUCAUGCCAAUGGCACUGCCCGGUAGCUAAAUGCGGAAGAGAUAAGUGCUGAAAGCAUCUAAGCACGAAACUUGCCCCGAGAUGAGUUCUCCCUGAGACUUAGAGUCUCCUGAAGGAACGUUGAAGACGACGACGUUGAUAGGCCGGGUGUGUAAGCGCAGCGAUGCGUUGAGCUAACCGGUACUAAUGAACCGUGAGGCUUAACCUUAC
rnacentral:rRNA from 1 species